GAUGAACGCUGGCGGCGUGCUUAACACAUGCAAGUCGAACGGAGGGGCCCUGCUUUUGUGGGGUGCUCGAGUGGCGAACGGGUGAGUAACACAUGAGUAACCUGCCCAUGACUUUGUGAUAACUUCAUGGAACUGGGGAUAAUUCCGGAUAGGAGCUCCUGCAGCAUGGUGGUGGUUGUAAAGUUUCGGAGGUUGGGGCUGGACGGUGGGUUUAUCAGCUUGUUGGUGGGGUGGUGACUUACCACGGCUUGGAGGGUUAGUCGGCGUGAGUGGGUGACCGGCCACAUGGGGACGACGGGACGGCCAAGACGCAGACGGGAGGCAGCGGUGGGGAAUAUUGCCCAAACGGGGGAAGCCUGAUGAAGCAAUGCCGCGUGUGGGAUGACGGCCUUCUGGUUGUAAAGCGCAUUCGCCGAUGACGAAGCGUGAGUGACGGGAAUGGGUAAAGAAGCACCGGGUAACUUCGUG
rnacentral:rRNA from 1 species